CCUACGGGGGGCGGCAGUGAGGAAUAUUGGUCAAUGGGCGAGAGCCUGAACCAGCCAAAUCGCGUGAAGGAUGAAGGUAUUAUGUAUUGUAAACUUCUUUUAUAGGGGAAUAAAGUGCGGGACGUGUCCCGUUUUGUAUGUACCCUAAGAAUAAGGAUCGGCUAACUCCGUGCCAGCAGCCCCGGUC
rnacentral:rRNA from 1 species